rnacentral:rRNA from 1 species
AAGUCGAGCGAACUGAUUAGAAGCUUGCUUCUAUGACGUUAGCGGCGGACGGGUGAGUAACACGUGGGCAACCUGCCUGUAAGACUGGGAUAACUUCGGGAAACCGAAGCUAAUACCGGAUAGGAUCUUCUCCUUCAUGGGAGAUGAUUGAAAGAUGGUUUCGGCUAUCACUUACAGAUGGGCCCGCGGUGCAUUAGCUAGUUGGUGAGGUAACGGCUCACCAAGGCAACGAUGCAUAGCCGACCUGAGAGGGUGAUCGGCCACACUGGGACUGAGACACGGCCCAGACUCCUACGGGAGGCAGCAGUAGGGAAUCUUCCGCAAUGGACGAAAGUCUGACGGAGCAACGCCGCGUGAGUGAUGAAGGCUUUCGGGUCGUAAAACUCUGUUGUUAGGGAAGAACAAGUACAAGAGUAACUGCUUGUACCUUGACGGUACCUAACCAGAAAGCCACGGCUAACUACGUGCCAGCAGCCGCGGUAAUACGUAGGUGGCAAGCGUUAUCCGGAAUUAUUGGGCGUAAAGCGCGCGCAGGCGGUUUCUUAAGUCUGAUGUGAAAGCCCACGGCUCAACCGUGGAGGGUCAUUGGAAACUGGGGAACUUGAGUGCAGAAGAGAAAAGCGGAAUUCCACGUGUAGCGGUGAAAUGCGUAGAGAUGUGGAGGAACACCAGUGGCGAAGGCGGCUUUUUGGUCUGUAACUGACGCUGAGGCGCGAAAGCGUGGGGAGCAAACAGGAUUAGAUACCCUGGUAGUCCACGCCGUAAACGAUGAGUGCUAAGUGUUAGAGGGUUUCCGCCCUUUAGUGCUGCAGCUAACGCAUUAAGCACUCCGCCUGGGGAGUACGGUCGCAAGACUGAAACUCAAAGGAAUUGACGGGGGNCCCGCACAAGCGGUGGAGCAUGUGGUUUAAUUNCGAAGCAACGCGAAGAACCUUACCAGGUCUUGACAUCCUYUGACAACUCUAGAGAUAGAGCGUUCCCCUUCGGGGGACAGAGUGACAGGUGGUGCAUGGUUGUCGUCAGCUCGUGUCGUGAGAUGUUGGGUUAAGUCCCGCAACGAGCGCAACCCUUGAUCUUAGUUGCCAGCAUUUAGUUGGGCACUCUAAGGUGACUGCCGGUGACAAACCGGAGGAAGGUGGGGAUGACGUCAAAUCAUCAUGCCCCUUAUGACCUGGGCUACACACGUGCUACAAUGGAUGGUACAAAGGGCUGCAAGACCGCGAGGUCAAGCCAAUCCCAUAAAACCAUUCUCAGUUCGGAUUGUAGGCUGCAACUCGCCUACAUGAAGCUGGAAUCGCUA